rnacentral:rRNA from 1 species
CCAGCACCUGCGGUAAUUCCAGCUCCAAUAGCGUAUAUUAAAGUUGUUGCGGUUAAAAAGCUCGUAGUUGGAUCUCUGGUCUUGCCGGCUGGUCGCCUUCAGGGUUGCACUGGUCGGCGGACCCAGACUGUUAGUUGAUCCAUGCGUGCUCUUCACUGGGUGCGUAUGGUGGUUAGCGCGUUUACUCUGAAAAAAUUAGUGCUCAAAGCAGGCCCUGUGCCUGAAUAGUGAUGCAUGGAAUAAUGGAAUAGGGCGUCAGUUCUAUUUGUUGGUUCGGAAUUUAACGUAAUGAUUAAGAGGGACAGACGGGAGCAUUCGUAUUGCUACGCUAGAGGUGAAAUUCUUGGAUCGUAGCACGAUGAACAACUGCGAAAGCAUUUGCCAAGAAUGUUUUCAUUAA